rnacentral:lncRNA from 1 species
GGAUUUGAUCUUUGGACCUUCAAGAUGUUGCCUCACUGGGACAACCAACUCCACUAAAGUAGACAUGUGAUAUAGGGUGGAUUUGGUCUUAUAUAAACCACACGUGCAAGCUGGUAGAAACUGAGACAACCAAAACAAAUAAAAAUGCAGGGUCCACUGGAUUCGAACUCACAACCUUGCGGUAGAGUCCGAAUGCUCUAGCCAGGUGGGUACAAACAUUCUCGUGGUAAACUACAACAACAAUUUUAGAAAGCCUCAAUAUGCCACAAUGGAUCUAACCAAAAACGAAAUAUUUCAUAUUGGAGCCAACUUCCUGGAAAAAAUUGCCUUUCACUUUCAUAGGGAAUCGUGCUUGUUUGCAAGGUGACUUUCCUCGCAAAAAUAGUGUGUCAUUUACGCUAGCAGGGAUACGAAAGAUACAUAUUGAAUUGGCUAGACAGGCGUAUCAAAAGCUUUGAUUUUCUCUUCUUGGUUCACACGGAUUAACGGAUGGUUCCCGUGCAUAGCCGGCGUGGAAGUUUCCUUUUUUAGCACCCAAAAACCUGCAGUUUACUAGGAGAAUCUAGAAUUGCUAGAUUUGGGUACAUAGCUGGCAUGGAAGUUUUCAAAAAGAAGCCAGUCUUUUUUGGAUUGGGAAUCCCCUGUUCUCCAUCACAACUGACCACUCACACAAUCUAAAGAAAGAACUUGUUCGGUUCUUGGAGAAUUGAAGGGUUUUGAAAAGAAUUGAAAGGAAUUAAAUCCGCUACAAGUUAAAUUCCACCUCAAUCCCCUUCAAUCCUCCUCUUCAGUCCCCUCCUGGCUGGGAUUAACAGAGGGAAACAGCGCCCGCGGAGGCUAGCGUGGGGCCAGCUUGAUGCGGGGCCAGGCUGGGCAGCUGGGCCUGCUCGGCUUGGCCCUAGCGAAGGUGCCCGCCCACCCAUGCACGAGUGCGGUCGAGGUGGUUCCCGUCUCUCCCGACAGGAGAGCGCAGCAGCGCUGGUCACGGGUCAACGGGCCAUGGCGCAAGGCAGGCUAGGGAUUCACUCCGGCAAGUCUUGGAGACUCCGGUCGGCUGGCGAUUGGGAUUGACGGAUCCGACCAAGGGGAGCCGAUUCCCGAUGGCGGCGAGAUGAACUCGAGAUCUGAGAGGCGGCCAUGGCUUGCUGUUGCUCCUGCGGAAGGAGAGAGACAGAGGGAUGAACAAGGUGAGAGAGAGGUGAAACGGGAAAAAAAGAGGAGGGAUGCAGGGGAUGAGUAGGGCAACGCAUGUCCAACGAGGUAGAGGAGGGGCGCUCCGGCCUGGCUUGCCCGGUGGCGUUGGGCGAGGCUCUCGGGCGGCAGCAGCUACAGGAGGAGGGAGCUCGGAGCUGGGGAAGCCUCGGGAGGAGCAGCUCCGAGGCGGCACGGGGCUUCAGUCGCUGGCAACAGCUUGCUCUGGCGUUCCAGCCGAUGAGGCCGAUGGGAUGGAGGCGGAUGCGCGACCUGGUCGUGGUGAAGUACGGCGCGGGAGGAGGUUGAGGCGCUCCUGGAUGGCGACGACAGGGAGGGCUCGAGCUGAACCCAGGCCGGCGGCAAGAGCUCUUGCUAGAGGCGAGACGACGACGGAGGAGGCCAUGGCAGUGGUGACCAAAGCCAUGGGAGAUGGGCGCGAGGAGCUGCUCUCUUGUGAGCGUUGCGUGUGAGUGCGGCGCUGGAAGGAGGAGGGGAUGAGAUUGAGGAGAGGAGACCAAGUGGAUGGAUAGGUUUCAAUGGGAGGCUGUGGUCGCCCGAACAUGUCCGGUUUGACCGCGGACAUGUGGGAUAGGUGGGGACUUACGCAUGGAGAUCCAAUCGUUCAGAUUUGGUUCUGAGAUUGUAUUUUGAGGAAGAGAGGAGGUGGAGCUAGCAGGUGGGGAUGAGAGGGAUGUGGUGCGGCCCGGCGAUAGAGUUUAAAAUACAGAAACAUCUCACGCCUCACCCGCUAUAGUACCGCUAUAGGUUUAACAGUUCGGAUAGCAAACGAACUCCGAUCGCGACGGAAAUUUUGCAGGCGGUCUACUACAUUAAAAUAAGACCGCACACCAAGUUUCAACCCAAUCCGAAAAUGUUUUAUACACACUUUUGAAAACAAGAUUUUAAGAUGUUGCGGGCACGUGCGUGUGUAGUUGGUCUCAAAACGGUCACUGACAAAAACGGAGAGAACCGACCACUAAUAACGAAUGCAAGUUUUGAAAACUAGCGGCAACGGAGUGCCAAUGCAAUGCGGAUGAUGCAAAUGAUGCGAUUAUGAGUGAGACAAACAAUAUAAUUACACGGAGGCAACGGAAUAAAAAGGGAAUCUUCUGAAGCGUAGGUCUCGGAUUGUUACAACUCUCCUACACUAACAAGAGAUCUCGCCCCGAUAUCUAAGAAUGAAAAGGGCAAGGGGAAGAGCAAGAGCAAUAGGUAAAACUUACUCGCUACUUUGACAAAUGAGAGAAGCCAAAGAAUCUUGGAGGUUGCAAAGAGAUGAAGAAUGAUAUAAGGAACAAGCAAGAAUUCAAACAAAAUUUCUGCAGCACUUUAGUAGGAAAUUGAGGCAAAAUUGAUAAGAAGAAAGAACUUGACAAGAUUGACAACAAACCAACUAAAUUGAUAAGGAAGGAAAGAACAUGGAAGAAGGCACAACAGCUCGAUUAAAUAAAUAAGAAAGGAAGGAACAUGAUAUUGACAAAACUUUGUAAUGGAUAAAAGAGAGAAACAUCACAAUAACACCGAAACAAGAACAGAAACUAGAUUAUUGGGAAGAAAGAAUGAAGAAGGAAAUGACAACUUGCACCACAAUUGAAUUUGAUGAGCAUCAUAACAAGAAGAAUUGAACGGAAUUGUUGGAAAACCAACAACAAAAAGAACAAGCUUGUAGUGGACUUAUGAAAACCAUCCCAAUAUAAUGAGGUGACAACCAGCCACUAACAGAAACAAUGAUUCAUUAGGAGCAACAAGAUAUGCACAACUUCUUUCAACAAGAAGAUACAUUAAGAGGGUGUAUCAAUGAUAAUCACCAUAAUAGCAACAAUCCUUAGAAAAAGAUUUAGGUGAAAUCUAAACCAAGAUAGCUCAAUGAAGAAAUCACGUGUUAAAAAAAUAUCUCAUGAUCAAAGAAUUGGUGGAUUUAAAUAUCUCAUUCUUGAAAUAAAUUCUCUUCAAGACUCCUCCAGUAACAAGAACGCUAUAAUACCACCACAAAGGAUAAAGGAGGAACAAUUGAACUUUUAAAUGCAAGAGAAAGAAUACUUGAGGUUCUCCAACAAGAAUCUUGAAGAACACUUGAGAAAGAAUUACCACCUUGAAGAACCACCAUGACGAACCUCUUGGAGAACACCAGAACGAAAGGAUGAUAUAAAAGAAUUGAAAGUUGAAAUGAGCAAGAUUAUGGCCUUGCAAAGAUUUAGAUGAAGCUUCACGAAUAGAUACUUGAGAAACUUGCAACUCCGAAAAAGAAAGAUGAAGCACUUGAGAUAAAGAAUUUGAUAUCAUGGGCCGUUCCGGAAGAAGAAUUAAAAUCAUCUUGAAGAAACAACAAUAAGAAUAAUGUAGUGCAUAUCCUUCAUCAACUUAAAUUGAUGACAAGCAACGGAUUUAGCAUACACCUUAUUCUUCUUGAAAAGAUUGAGGAGAGAGAAAGAGCACAAAUUUGAAGAAGUCUUGAAAGAACCACCGGUAAGAAUUUGGAAUGAAAGAGGAUAAUAAAAAUGAACUGGGCUACAUGAGGACAAAGGGAGCACGAUUCAAUUAGAGAAUGCUUGAACAAGGCAUCAAUAAGAACUUCAAGUGAGUGGGCAUACCAUGAAUGAAUGAAGAUACAAGAGAGCGAAGAGAUCAUGAUCUACCUAAAAGAAAAAUUCAACAAGGCACCGAAAUAAUUGAGAUACGAACGAAGGGACGACAAUUGAGAAGAAUUUGAGAUUGAAAGUUGAAAGCUAAGAACGAAGAAAUCUUCUGAAAUGAUGGCCUUUAGAGGAUCGAGAAAUGAAAACAACACUGAAAUGCACUGGAUAGAUAUGAAAAGAAUUACUCAUGAGUGGAAACAAUUUAAGAGGACAGCACAAAGCUGAAUUGACAAUCUUCAAAAGAAUGGACAAGACUUAAGAGAAACACUCCUACGAACUUCCAAGCUGCGGAAGAUGGCAAGAAGCACCAUCAAUAAUUACUGAGACACUCUAGAAGAAAUGAACACGGAAAAGUUGAGCCAAUGAUGAGAAAUAAAUUUGAAGCGAUCUUGAAGAAGGAAUAUGACUGAUGGGAUUCAUAAUUACGUCAUAAUAAAAAUAAUUAGAGAUCUCCGGUAAAAGAUUAGAAGAGCCAGAUAAGAUCCUAGGAAAACUUGUGGGUUAUGGGCCCACUCAAAGAAACCAUCGUUGAAAGAUUGCUCAGGAAGAGAGAUAUUGCACCGGUACAAAUGAAAACUUGAUGAGGUUGAGCACCUCGAAAUAAUUGAAAGGAUUGAGAACAAGAAACUUUUGAGAUAUCUUCAACACUCCGGAUAGAAUAGAGAGGGAUAAAUAAACAAAAGAGACUUGAAUAAGGAUUUCCAACAUGGGAAAGCAUUGAACGAAUCAAAAGGAUAUGAUGAACACCGAAAGCGUGAAUUAAAUCCACCGGAAAAGAACACGGAGACGAUGAAAUGAUGAACUGAAACCCCUGAAAAUCUUCGCAAGGAAUCAUCGGAUACGACACAAAAGAGAAGGUAGAGGAAGCAUUAAUGAAUUGAAAUGCACUUGGAUGAUAAUUAAAUUAUUGGAGAAUAAAGGGAGGGAGGGCGGGGAAAAACAAAGACAACUUGGCACACAUGAGACAAACUCCGGAAAGAAAUGAGGGAUUGAUCUUGCAAAAACUGGGGAAGAUAGAAUUAUCUUGAAGGGAAGCACACUGGUUGAAACAAUUUGACAUGACAACUCCGAUUUGAAAAGAAUUGAUAAGGUAAUUUGAUUGAGCAAAAUGAUUAGCACUCACAUAGAAAUAUGAGAACACCACUUAGGAAAGAUAUGUAAUCACCAGUUGACAUUGAAGCAACACGAAUUACCAUAUUCCAACAAAACAAAGGAUGAGGCUUACGGAAUAAGCCUGAACAUAUUCAUGACAUAGAUUUCACUCGAUAUUUUUGUGGUAAGGUUCGCACGGGUUGUAUCCUACAGUAGUCAUCAUGUACAAGGCAGUGCACACGACAUACGAAGCGUCCCCAAGUUGUAGCAAGCUACAAAGACUCUUUAAGACACAACAAGAACCGUUGUAAGACGAACGUGAACAAACGAAUCCACUAGAUGUCGAACCCCAACCUCACAUCAUGCAUCUGUUGGAAAAUUGUCUUAUAAGUAACUACUUCAAUCCAACCUAAGAACUCGUGACAUUUCUGGUCAUGCAAUCGGGUCCACGGAUACAAGGAGUAAAAUACAUCACUCAACUCCUAGCAAUAACACUACCCGUCCAGCGCAUCACAUCCGUCAGCACAUAACCAGAGAUCUCGGAAACCCAUCUACCUCAGAUCCUCGUAAUCACAACGAUACCAAGUAUGGAAGUACAUCCGGACGUACUCCACUAAUACUGGGGAUGCCGGACUCCUCUCGCCACUACUAGUAUUGAAGCAAUUUCGAACAUCCUACGUCCUGAGAUACUAAGAAAUCUGAAUGAUAACGAUGUGCUCAUUAAUUCCCUGGAGCUCAACAUCUCGAAAGAAAUCAAGUCAGACAGGAGGUACCAAGUCAAAAUUCUGUCACAUCGACAUCAUAUAGAUUCCAAAAUACCCGCGUGACCCUAAACUUUUUUUGAGUGAGAAUAGGAGUAGAAUUAAAAUUCUUAUGUCAAGAUUCCUCACCAGAGCAUAGAAGAGGAGAGAAAAGAAUCCUACUCUCCGAUAUAUAACUAGACUCAAAGCAGUUUUUCACUAGAUUCGACUCAACCAAGUUCCAUCAAUCAAGGGGGCUCCUAGGUUGGUACUGCUCUGAUACCAACUCGUAACGCCCAAGAUGCGACUAUAUCCUUAUUUCUGGCACGAGGGCCUUGAGAAGGAUAGAAACGCAUCUCAUCAUUUCGCAAGAACGGAUAUCAUUACAAGUACAUUACAGAAGAGAUGGGUAUAUGGAAUUGGCUUACACUCUCCACAAGAUACAUCAAGAUUACAUUAAUACAACAAUAACCAGAGAGGGAAAUAGCGCCGGCGGAAGCUAGCGUUGGGCUGGCUUGAUGCAGGACGAGGCUUGGCAGCUGGGCCUGCUCGACUCGGCCCUGCAAAGGUGCAUGCCCACACAUGCGCGAGUACGGUCGAGGUGGUUCCCGUCUCCUCCGACAGAAGAGCGCAGUGGCGCUGGUCAUGGGUCAACCAGCGAUGAUGCAAGGCAGGCUAGGGCUUCGCUCCGGUGA